rnacentral:rRNA from 1 species
GAACGGCGAUGUCCUUUACUGGGUGUCGUCGCAAACCAGGACUUUUACUUUGAAAAAAUUAGAGUGUUCAAAGCAGGCCUUUGCCCGAAUACAUUAGCAUGGAAUAAUAAAAUAGGACGCGCGUUCCCAUUUUGUUGGUUUCUGAGAUCGCCGUAAUGAUUAAUAGGGAUAUUUGGGGGCAUUUGUAUUCCGUCGUCAGAGGUGAAAUUCUUGGAUUGCCGGAAAACAAACUACUGCGAAAGCAUUUGCCAAGGAUGUUUUCAUUGAUCAAGAACGAAGGAAGGGGGAUCGAAAACGAUUAGAUACCGUUGUAGUCUCUUCUGUAAACUAUGCCAAUUGGGGAUCGGUACAGGAUUUUUAAUGACUG